AACGAACGCUGGCGGCAUGCCUAACACAUGCAAGUCGAACGAGACCUUCGGGUCUAGUGGCGCACGGGUGCGUAACGCGUGGGAACCUGCCCUUAGGUUCGGAAUAACUCCCCGAAAGGGGUGCUAAUACCGGAUAAUGUCUUCGGACCAAAGAUUUAUCGCCUUUGGAUGGGCCCGCGUUGGAUUAGGUAGUUGGUAGGGUAAAAGCCUACCAAGGCGACGAUCCAUAGCUGGUCUGAGAGGAUGAUCAGCCACACUGGGACUGAGACACGGCCCAGACUCCUACGGGAGGCAGCAGUGGGGAAUAUUGGACAAUGGGCGAAAGCCUGAUCCAGCAAUGCCGCGUGAGUGAUGAAGGCCGUAGGGUUGUAAAGCUCUUUUACCCGGGAUGAUAAUGACAGUACCGGGAGAAUAAGCUCCGGCUAACUCCGUG
rnacentral:rRNA from 1 species